rnacentral:rRNA from 1 species
GACGAACGCUGGCGGCGUGCUUAACACAUGCAAGUCGAACGGAAAGGCCCUGCUUUUGUGGGGUUCUCGAGUGGCGAACGGGUGAUUAACACGUGAUUAACCUGCCCUUUACUUUGGGAUAACUUCAGUUAACUGGGGCUAAUACCGGAUAGUAGCUCCUGCUGCAUGGUGGGGGUUGGAAAGUUUCGGCGGUUGGGGAUGGACUCGCGGCUUAUCAGCUUGUUGGUGGGGUAGUGGCUUACCAAGGCUUUGACGGGUAGCCGGCCUGAGAGGGUUACCGGCCACAUUGGGACUGAGAUACGGCCCAGACUCCUACGGGAGGCAGCAGUGGGGAAUAUUGCACAAUGGGCGGAAGCCUGAUGCAGCAACGCCGCGUGCGGGAUGAAGGCCUUCGGGUUGUAAACCGCUUUCGCAUGUGACGAAGCGUGAGUGACGGUAAUGGGUAAAGAAGCACCGGCUAACUACGUG